AGAGUUUGAUCAUGGCUCAGGAUGAACGCUAGCUACAGGCUUAACACAUGCAAGUCGAGGGGAAACGAUAUUGGAAGCUUGCUUCCGAUAGGCGUCGACCGGCGCACGGGUGAGUAACGCGUAUCCAACCUGCCCACCACUUGGGGAUAACCUUGCGAAAGUAAGACUAAUACCCAAUGACGUCUCUAGAAGACAUCUGAAAGAGAUUAAAGAUUUAUCGGUGAUGGAUGGGGAUGCGUCUGAUUAGCUUGUUGGCGGGGUAACGGCCACCAAGGCUACGAUCAGUAGGGGUUCUGAGAGGAAGGUCCCCCANAUUGGAACUGAGACACGGUCCAGACUCCGUACGGGAGCA
rnacentral:rRNA from 1 species